rnacentral:rRNA from 1 species
GAGUUUGAUUCGUGGCUCAGAUUGAACGCUGGCGGCAUGCCCUACACAUGCAAGUCGAACGGCAGCAUGAUCAGCUUGCUAGAUUGAUGGCGAGUGGCGAACGGGUGAGUAAUACAUCGGAACGUGCCCUGUAGUGGGGGAUAACUAGUCGAAAGAUUAGCUAAUACCGCAUACGACCUGAGGGUGAAAGUGGGGGACCGCAAGGCCUCAUGCUAUAGGAGCGGCCGAUGUCUGAUUAGCUAGUUGGUGGGGUAAAGGCCACCAAGGCGACGAUCAGUAGCUGGUCUGAGAGGACGAUCAGCCACACUGGGACUGAGACACGGCCCAGACUCCUACGGGAGGCAGCAGUGGGGAAUUUUGGACAAUGGGCGAAAGCCUGAUCCAGCAAUGCCGCGUGUGUG